CACUCUCAUUCCGGCCUGAGGGGCAGACUUGAGCGUCCGGCUGGGGCCCCUCCCCGUUCUGCCUCCUGCGCCUCCCAGGCCAGUGAAGAACCACUAUCCCCUCUGACGCUUUUUAGCACAUGAAAGAUCACACCGCGCUUCAUGGGGAGAAAAUACAUCGGUCACUACUGUCACUACGUGGGGGAGGACGCCUGAGACUCCAGCUCAUCAGGACGAAAGGGCAGCUGCGCGUCCGGGAGGACGAGGCUGAAGGGUGAAGGCCGUGUGACAACAGGGGCAGAGAUCAGAAGCCACAAGCCACAAGCCAAGGACGACGAGGUGGCCAGCCCAGCCCAGGAAGCCAGGAAGAGGCUGGGGCAGCUGCUCCUCACAGCCCAGAAGGAACCUGCUCUGCAGACCCCCGGCCUUGGACUUCUGGUCUCCAGAACUGGGAGAGAAUGAACACCUGUUGUCAGGCCGCCAGCCUGGCAGUUGGUUAGGGGGCCCCAGGACACGAACACAGCGGCUCUGAUGGGCACAAUGGCCAGGUACCCACGGUUCCUGAGGCUGCAGAGCCAGAGCUCCUCCCUGCUCCGCUCAGCCCAGGCGAUCUGCUGCUCUACCCUCACCUGCUCCCAGUGCCCAGAAGCUGCCCUCGCCAAGGUCACCAGCAUACCCUGACGGCCAAAAACCCCAGUCCUCCGGGCAGCCAUUGCUCCCACACCCCCUUCCACACGCCCCCUGGAUGGAGCUGGUCCCUUGUCUCCCACCAUCUCCCUGACCGUUCUCACCCCAGGCCCUCUAGGGCCACCCAGAGGUGGGACCUCAUACUUCCUGGCCACCCCUGGCCUGCCCCCCCACUCCACUGAGCCCCCCAUGGAUCAGCCCAUCCUGGGGUCACCUCUCGCCUUCUCUAGCCUGCCCCUCCCAUCCUGUGAGCCGGGGCUGCCCCUCUGCCCCCCACCCUCACCACACACAGUAGGGGCCUCGCCCUCAGUGCCCCUUCCUGUCCUCCACCCGGGAGGUACCUGGGGGACAGCACCUCGUCUGAGCUCUCAGCUGUGCCGGUAGGAGCUCCAGGCCCAGGAGGAAGGCGCUGGGCACACGGGAGACACGCAGGCGGUGGCUGCCCUUGGGGGCCCCAGACCGGAGGUCUCCAAGCUCUGAAGGUGUGUGUGUCCGAGGCUUUGGCCGCAGAGUCCCAGAGACCCAGGUCUGAACACCCCAGGUUCCUGGCUGCCCUGCUCCCGAUCGUUGUGCCCACCCCCCGGGUUCCACACCUUCAGAGUCUACGACUGCCUCCAAGUGCCUGGAGUCAGGGGCCACUGUGACCGACUGAUUCAGCGCCUCGCAAGGUUUUCAGGUCAUGGGGCUAAGGCACCCGGGUCUGCCCUUCAAAGUGCUCCCCCAGGCCCCUGUGUCCCAGAGGCGGCUCCGGCUCCGAGCACAUUUGCUCUGUGCUGAGAAGAACUUUACAGACCGUGUGCAGUAACUGUGUGCAGCAAGCACCCCACCAACACCCAGGGCCCUAACCCAGACGCUGUCCACACAGGGGGGCCUGCCUACUUCCAGGCUGCCCAGGGCCAAGGCAGGGUCCCGAGCACAACCUUGGUCAAGGUCAAGGUCAAGGUCAAGAUCAGCAGUGCCUUGGGCCCAUCUGCUAUGGGUGGAAUGACUUGUGUCCCCGAAAGAUGUUGAAGUCCUAAGCUCUUGUACCUGUGACAUGACCUUAGUUUAGGAAUAGGGUCUUUGCAGAUGUAACUAGGUAAGAUGAGGUCACACUGAGUAGGGUGGCCCUAAAUCCAAUGACUAGUGUUCUCAUAAGAAAAAGGGAAAUUUGGACACAGACAGACACAGCAGGGCAUGUGACAAUGAAGGCAAAGAUUGGAGUAACGUGGCCACAAGCCCAGGGCUGCCUGGAGCCCCCAGGGGCUGGAAGAGGCAUUCUGGAGCCCCCAGACCGCAGGACAUGGAUAUACCCCCAACCCACUGUUGAUCAGCAAGUCCCAGGGGCACCUGCUGAGGCUAGGAGCUGCCUUUGGCCCCGCCCUUCUCUUUAUUCUGUGAGACAAGGAGGCCCUCGGGUAGGAACCAAACCUCAGGCCUGCCUCUGAGGCCAGCCAGUCCCACGUGGGGGCGUCAGGUUCAGCCACAGUGGGAGACGCUGAGGGGUCCCUGAGGGAGAGAGGAGGGUCCUCCAUCCCGGUCACACGUGGCGCCCAUCUGUGAAACAGCCGGGCUGCCCGGGAGCCUCUGACUCCUUGCAGACGCCGUCUCCCACCGUCUGGGGGCACAGGCGUCUCCGGGUGAGCUGACCCGGCCCAUGGGACAUGAGUGGACAGUGCUGGUCUAGGCUCAGACCACCGCUGGUCCAGCUCCCAUCCCACCAGCCUCAAGCUUGGAGGUGCUCUGACCGGGCAUCCUGGCAUCCUGGCAUCCUGGCCCUGCGCAGGAAUCUCACUGCCCCUGCUGCUGCCCUGAGCUCUGCCUGGCUGACCCGUGCACCACCCCUGUUGGCCCAGGUGUGAGUCACUGCCUCACACUCAGCUCCUUGGCAGCCCUCACCCCACCCUGGACGCCUCCACGCAUGGCCCCAGACGCACUCUGCCCCCGCACUGGGAAGCCCAGGCCUGGUGGCAGGGGCCCGGGCUUGACUUCCAGGCAGCUGUGCCGCAGGCCAGUGUGCCCCCUGGAGAAGGCCCUGAGCCUGGUCUCGGGCUACCACACCCAUGCCCCUCACCUGGGCGCCCUCUCUCCUAGACCUUACAAAGAUGGUCCCUGGACACCCCAUGUCCACCUUCUCGGAAGCAGCAAUGACUCCACUGAGGGGCCCUGAGGGCUGUCCGGCUCAUGCUGUGUGUAGGCGCUCCUGUCCCUUGGCCUCCUCGCUGCAGAGGCAGCAGGCAUCCCCUCCUACUGGCGCUGCUCGGGAAUCCCACUGCCCACCCCAGGCCUUUGCCCAGGGACCUACUUCAUCCCAGCACUGCACCCUCGCCACCUUCAGAGGGGCUGCGCAGGCCACCCAGCUUUGAGAGUGCCGGCCUCCUGGCCCCAUUCUAGCCCUUCGCCUGCUUUCUUUGACCCCACAGGACUCACUUCCACCUGGCCCUAGAUGGUCACUUGGUCUGCGCCCCGAACCGGAAUAUCCGUUCCUUGUCUGUGUUCUUCCCUGUUGAGCCCACAGCAUGCAGCAGGAGCCUUAAAAAUACAUGCGAAAUGAGUGAUUCCAUGAAUCCCAGCCUCAGGCCGAAUGUGGCAGGCAGUGCAGGUGGAUCCCAGGUACGUGACAGCAAUGUCACCCAGAAGGAGGGCAGAGACUAAGAGAGGCACCCCUGGGAGGGGUGGGGAGAGCGUCAGGUUGGCCUCAGCGGAAGGGAUGGCAGGAAGCUGGUGCUUCUGGGGACAGACAUUCCGGAACCCAGGCCGGAAAGCCCUCCUGGGCUAGGACUGGCGGCAGACACCUCUGCCAGUGUGUGCUGGAAGAGUGAGCUACGUGCACGUAGGGCCAGCUCCUUCCCCGCCACACAGCAGGGCGCCACGGUGACAAGAGAGGACGGCUCGCAGGGCCCUGAGAAAUGGGCGGUGUUUUCUGCUCAGCCUCAAAACCGUCCAGGCUCCCAAGCUGUUGGCAAGCUCGGCCCACCUCCUCGGCUUCCCCUCCCUGACCCCAGGCUCCAGAUAAGCUUCCGCCCACAAACUCCCAGCACCCUCCACCCAGUGAGGCCAGGCUGGACUUUGCUUAGGAAGAAACGGCGAACAGCUCCCAGAUAACUUUCUUAAACAAAUGCGGUUUAUUAAACCUCCUGCAAGCACGAGCCUCUGCUGGGUGGUGGGUGGCAAUGAGCGCCCACCCCGUGAUGCCCACGUUCUCUGUAGGGCUGAAAGCGGAGUGUAGGGCGGUGCUGUUGGGGUGACUGCACCUGGUGCCACCACUUUAGGAGAGUCCCUGGAGGCAUCUGCUUGGCAUACUCAAACCUCAAGACCCCCAAGUCUCUCCCCUGGGUGCCCACCCACAGGACACAACAUUCUGUCCCCCACAUGCCACCUAGAAUGUACGAAACAGCGAUAUUUCAAUAGCUCCCAAAGCGACGCUGCCCACAGUGGGGGAACAGGCUGCGCCACAGCCACACGAUGGGGCACUGCUGAGCACUUGGGGCCCUGCAGCUACAGCGACACUGGGGGUGGCCCUCAGACAGGUGCGAGAAAGGAGCAGACACAGGGGACAACGUGACCGUGGGCUCAAACACAGGCGAGCCGAGUCAGUGGUGCAGAAAAUCAGAAGAGUGCCUGCUCGGGUUGAGGAGCAGCCGGAAGGCACAGGAAACGUCCUGCAACGUGAUGGGGCCUGGUCUGCCCAAAUUCACCACGUUGCAUAGCUAAGAUGAGCAUGUUUUGCUGUAUGUGAAUUUUAUCUCAAUAGAAUAAAGAGAAAUGAGUACAAAUACAGAAGUCUAGUAAGUAGGUUUUGCUUUUCACAGUGGCGGAAGUCAGCAUUUCUAAACUGCAUUUUUUCUAUUUUAGAGUUCAGCAAAUGAGCAAAUAUUAAGGAUAAUGGGAGCCAAGCUCCUCAUUGUUGGUUAGGGGAGUUGAUCUAGAGAGAAAGAACCUUGACUGUGGUCUGAGGCGAGGGAUUAUCAGCAGGAAGUCGUGGCCAUAUAAGGAAGUAUUGGAAGGAUACAUGAG